AUUUUUUCCAACAUUUUCCAGUUUCUCAAUGAUAGGGGAGUUAUAAUUAUUUGUAUAGGUCUUCUAAGGAACCAUUAUCUUCAGCUGGUACCAAUCAACUAAACUUCAACUCCAAACCACCGUAUUAAUACCAGUAUACAAUUUAUAAGUCUAUUACAGCUGUUAACUUUAGAUGCUAAAUCAUAUUAUCACAACAUUAUCUUCAAUCAUGAUCAUCUUCCCGUUCAUCGGUAGCCGCUGGGCCGACAAUUUUGGAAACAUAGUUUCUCGAUUGAUCAAAGCACCACAGACUGCAUCGUUCGUCACCUCUGCCUUUAAGCGCGUUAUCACCUACUCCAAUAAGCCACCCCAAUAUCCUUAAUAAGCAAUAGAAGUUCUUAUCGACUGUGUAUGACUCAUUAAUAUCCAUGUUCUGUAUAAAUUUAUGUGAUGGGCCUACUGGUAUUAAUGCUGAUGUACCGUAAUGUUUUUUGCUCAUGUAUAAUUGAUAAUAAUACAUUAAAAAUAAAUAUAAUGUUAAAUUAUUA